CAUGGAUGAUAAUGCUGAUGAUGAUGUUGGUGUGGUGAUGACGAUGAUGAUGAUCAUCAUCAUCAUCCGCACCAUCAUUAUCAUCAGCAUCACCA
rnacentral:pre_miRNA from 1 species